rnacentral:rRNA from 1 species
UGUUGCAUGGCUGUCGUCAGCUCGUGUCGUGAGAUGUUGGGUUAAGUCCCGCAACGAGCGCAACCCUCAUCCUUAGUUGCCACCAGGUAAUGCUGAGUACUUUAAGGAAACUGCCAGUGAUAAGCUGGAGGAAGGUGGGGAUGAUGUCAAGUCAUCAUGGCCUUUAUGGAGUGGGCUACACACGUGCUACAAUGGUGUCUACAAUGGGUUGCAAGGUGCGCAAGCCUAAGCUAAUCCCUAAAAGACAUCUCAGUUCGGAUUGUACUCUGCAACUCGAGUACAUGAAGUUGGAAUCGCUAGUAAUCGUGGAUCAGCAUGCCACGGUGAAUACGUUCUCGGG